rnacentral:rRNA from 1 species
UACGGGGGGGGCAAGCGUUGUUCGGAAUUACUGGGCGUAAAGGGCUCGUAGGCGGCCAACUAAGUCAGACGUGAAAUCCCUCGGCUUAACCGGGGAACUGCGUCUGAUACUGGAUGGCUUGAGUUCGGGAGAGGGAUGCGGAAUUCCAGGUGUAGCGGUGAAAAGCGUAGAUAUCUGGAGGAACACCAGUGGCGAAGGCGGCAUCCUGGACCGACACUGACGCUGAGGAGCGAAAGCCAGGGGAGCAAACGGG